rnacentral:tRNA from 1 species
GUGCCCGUAGCUCAGUUGGUAGAGCUCCUGGUUGUGGUCCAGGCGGCCGCGGGUUCAAGUCCCGUCGGGCACCCCA